rnacentral:siRNA from 1 species
GCGAUGAAGCUGUGAAGGAGCCG